rnacentral:lncRNA from 10 species
AUUUGUUUCAAUAUUUUUUCCCUCCUUAACCUGAUGGUCAUUUAGGAGCAUGUUGUUCAUUUCCAUGUAUUUUUAUAGCUUCCAAAAUUCCUCUUGUUAUUGAUUUCUAGGUUUAUUCCAUUGCGGUCUGAGGAGAUAUUUGAUAUGAUUUCAAUUUUUUUUUUUUUAAGACAGAGUCUAGCUCUGUAACCAAGGCUUGCGUGAAGUACUGUGAUCAUGACUCACUACAGUUCAACCUUCAAGGCUCAAGUGAUCCUCCCACCUCAGCCUCCCAAGUAGCUGGGACCAAAGGCAUCUGCAAAAUGUAGCCAGUUACUGCUGUCUUGUUGAAGCAACCAUACAAGCAAAGAUGGGGUUUCACCAUGCUGGCCAAGAUGGUCUGGAUCUCCUGAACUCGUGAUCCGCCUACCUCAUGAUCUGCCCGCCUCAGCCUCCCAAAGUGCUGGGAUUACAGGCACGAGCCACCGCGUCUGGCCGCUUUGGAUUUUUAUAUAAGAACAGAGACUCAGAUCAUUGGAGGUGUCUGGAGACAAAAUGAGUAUGGAUUCUUUUUCAGAAGAUAAGAGUUUGUGUAGGAGGAAUGUCCACCUGUGAAGGAAUUCAUAAGUCACCCUGGCACUCGGUUCCAAGCAAACAGCUUCAUAUCCUCAGACUGUGGAAGCAUCAAAAUUAUUGAGUAAUCCACAAUGAAUAUCCACUGUUACUGGUGUUACUUUAGAGAUAUAUUCCAUUCUUCACUUAAGAAAACGAGAGGAUUAUUUUGGUCCAGUAGAAUUUCAUCUUUCACUUUCUUUCUGGUAUACAUCAGUUGUUAUCAAUCCUGCCAAAAUUCUGUAUUUCAGUAAUUAUUUUCUUCCUAUUUCUCUUCUGCACCCAUUCUCAUUACAUCAAUGGGCUAAAUCACAGCCAAUUGACUAUGCUUUAGUAUGAGUUUUCAUAUUCAGUGAAUCAGAAAUGUAUAAUACAGAAAUUGGAAUUAACAAUGUUUUAAGAAUGCAAAACAGAAAAGACAGCUACAUGCGUUUUUGCAGUAUUUAUGUAUUUAUUUAUUUAUUAUACUUUAAGUUCUGGGAUAAAUGUGCAGAAAGUGCAGGUUUGUUACAUAGGUAUAUAUGUGCCAUGGUGGUUUGCUGCACCUAUCAACCCGCCAUCUACGUUAGGUAUUUCUCCUAAUGCUAUCCCUGUCGGGGGGUUUGGGAACAAGGGGAGGGAUAGCAGAAUCUCUGGGACACAGCUAAAGCAGUGUUCAGAGGGAGAUUUAUAGCACUAAAUGCCCACAGGAGAAAGCAGGAAAGAUAUAAAGAACUAGAGAAGCAAGAGCAAACAAAUUCAAAAGCUAGCAGAGGACAAGACAUAACUAAGAUCAGAGCAAAACUGAAAGAGACAGAGACACGAAAAACCCUUCAAAAAAGCAAAGAAUCAGACCUGGUGUGGUGGCUCACGCCUGUAAUCCCAGCACUUUGGGAGUCUGAGGCAGGCGGAUCACCUGAGGUCAGGACCACCUCACCUGAGGUUGAGACCAGCAUGACCAACAUGGAGAAACUCCAUCUCUACUAGAAAUAUAAAAUUAGCUGGGCAUGGUGGCACAUGCCUGUAAUCCCAGCUACUCAGGAGGCUUUGGCAGAGGAAUCUCUUGAACCUGGGAGGCGGAGGUUGC